GAUGAACGCUGGCGGCAGGCUUAACACAUGCAAGUCGAGCGAGACCUUCGGGUCUAGCGGCGGACGGGUGAGUAACGCGUGGGAACGUGCCCUUCUCUACGGAAUAGCCCCGGGAAACUGGGAGUAAUACCGUAUACGCCCUUUGGGGGAAAGAUUUAUCGGAGAAGGAUCGGCCCGCGUUGGAUUAGGUAGUUGGUGGGGUAAUGGCCCACCAAGCCGACGAUCCAUAGCUGGUUUGAGAGAAUGAUCAGCCACACUGGGACUGAGACACGGCCCAGACUCCUACGGGAGGCAGCAGUGGGGAAUCUUAGACAAUGGGGGCAACCCUGAUCUAGCCAUGCCGCGUGAGUGAUGAAGGCCUUAGGGUUGUAAAGCUCUUUCAGCUGGGAAGAUAGUGACGGUACCAGCAGAAGAAGCCCCGGCUAACUCCGUGCCAGCCGCCGCGGUAA
rnacentral:rRNA from 1 species